rnacentral:rRNA from 1 species
UACGUAGGCAGCAAGCGUUGUUCGGAGUUACUGGGCGUAAAGGGUGUGUAGGCGGUUCUUUAAGUUUGGUGUGAAAUCUCCCGGCUCAACUGGGAGGGUGCGCCGAAUACUGAGGGACUAGAGUACGGGAGAGGAAAGUGGAAUUCCUGGUGUAGCGGUGAAAUGCGUAGAUAUCAGGAGGACACCGGUGGUGUAGACGGCUUUCUGGACCGUAACUGACGCUGAGACACGAAAGCGUGGGUAGCAAACAGG